GCUUGUCUCAAAGAUUAAGCCAUGCAUGUCUAAGUAUAAGCAUUAUACAGUGAAACUGCGAAUGGCUCAUUAUAUCAGUUAUAGUUUAUUUGAUAGUCCCUACUAUUUGGAUAACCGUAGUAAUUCUAGAGCUAAUACAUGCGUACAGCCUCAACUCACGGAGAGGUGUAUUUAUUAGAUACAACCAGCCCUUCGGGUCUUUGGUGAAUCAUAAUAACUGAGCGAACCGCAUCGUAAGAGCGGUGGUUCAUUCAAGUUUCUGCCCUAUCAACUUUCGAUGGUAAGGUAUUGGCCUACCAUGGUUACAACGGGUAACGGGGAAUUAGGGUUCGGUUCCGGAGAGGGCGCCUGAGAAAUGGCGACCACAUCCAAGGAAGGCAGCAGG
rnacentral:rRNA from 1 species